UGAAAUGCGCUCUCCGGAGCGCAUUCUGUUUACCCUCAUGAAAUCAAAAUCUCCUACUUUUAGCUCUCCACUAACAAACUUUGAAAAGUGAUUUUGAUAUUUACAUGGAUUUUAGAGAAACUCCCUUUGUUGUUUCAUAGUAAGCAUAGUUCACAAAAUAAAAUGCCUGGCUGCUUCGGGAAUGUUUCAAGGGAUGAGGUGGAAAUCAUUUUCAUGAGCUAUCCAAAUUCGGAAGGCAGUAACUUGCUAAUGAAAGAAAUCUAUUAGUAAUGGGCAUAUAUUGGAAUUUGUAGAUUAGAGGUAUAUGAAUUAAAUGUAUUUUAUCAUUAAUCAUUUAGAAGCCACUAAAUCUAGAAACAAAUGACUUGAAAAAUAAAUACUGUAGGAUUUUAGGAUUGUUGCUGAUUAUCUCAAAAGGAAGCCAAAAAUCUGAUACCUUAGAAAUAAAUUUAUUGCAAAGUUUCAUAAA
rnacentral:lncRNA from 1 species